AACACUGUUAACCUGCGGUACCUGCGGAGGGAUCAUUAACCUUUCAAAUCAGGGUGCGGCGCGGCCCCCGAGGAGCGGAAACAAUCCUUGGGAGGUAUGCGGGGGCUUCGAGCCCCCCAUUUACGCACGCACGACUGCCAUCCUUACUUUACGAGCACCUUCUGUUCUCCCUCGGCGGGGCAACCUGCCGUUGGAACCGAAUAAACUCUUUUUGCAUCUAGCAUUACCUGUUCCGAAACA
rnacentral:misc_RNA from 1 species